AGCGAGCGCUCGAGGGGGCGACGCGGGGUUCGCGGAGGGGCCCCCAGGACGCGCCGCCGGCUUCGCCACGCCGAGCGCCCGGCCCGGACCCUGUUCCCUAAAGAUCAGGACGGAUGGGGAAAAGCGCCCUUCUUAGGUGAAAGCAUCAGCUCGUUUCUACGUGUCAGCACUGGGAGAAGAUGUGGGGUCAGCGUCUUCACCAGGGAGCUGGUGCGAGGAUCAGCCCGUGAGAUGACAGACUCGGCGCCCUGCCAGAUGCUGUAAAGCGUGGAACUGUGUCAUCGAUGGUUAAGGAGAAAACAGGGUUUUGCAAAGGCACAACUAGAAGGAUGAAGGUGGCUGAAUAUUUGUCUUCUGAGUGAUACGGACUUUCCUUGAAGAAUGGCGCAUUUACGAGUGUCAGCCUGCCACCCGUUACUGCGAUUAGGUUCUUCAGCAACCGAGGAGGAAUGAGGAGGACUCAGACGGAUUUCGAAGAAUGGCAUGACUAAUGUACAAACAAGAGUGAAAGGGAGUGUUGGAAAAACUCAGGGACACUGAAGACUGAAGUGGGUUGAAAACAAAUCAGAACGUGAGUUCUCCCACUUGAGUGCGAGCAGAAUUUGUUUUUCAGAAGUAAUUUUUAAGGAUUCACUUGGAGAAGGAAGAGGGAUUUUCCUUUACGCUUUUGGAUCGGAUGGCUCUGUGUUGCGAACGGUUUUCUCGCGGCCUUCAAGAAUUUGUUUGGUACCCACUUGUUCAAAACCCAAGGGCAAACAGCCAAGUCCCCUUAAAGCUGUCCGCCCGGGACUACGGGAGUCAGUUUGAAACGUCUUCGUUUUAAGAAGGUGGCAGAAUUACAUAAUUAUUCACAGCUCAUAAGAAAUUAAAAUACCUCUUCCAAAUAUGAAGUCGCGAGAUAACACAAACCACAAGUCCUAGACUCUCGGAGGGCGUGUGCCUCGUUUGUGCUCCCACACACAAACCCACAGCCGACCGUCUGCGCUGAGAGCACGUGGCCCCACUGAGAGCACGUGGCCACGCUGACCUCGCUUCCCUCGUGUUCCUCCGCACACAGCAGGGCUCUUGCCCAGGGCCUCCCUUGGCGACGCCGAGGGACCGAAGAUGCCAAAUGCUGGAGAGGCGGGAGGUCACCACAAGGCACCUGGGACCACAGACGCACUCUCUUCCACUCAUGGCCAGGGUGCACGAGAAAACAGCAUAGGCACAGAGGAAAAUUUGUAAAAACCUGAACUAACUGGCUCGAGGCCUUGGCCCAUCCAAGCGCAGCCCGAAGCUGCGAGUCGCUCAAGGCUGCUUCAGAUCCGGGCGCGUUUUAUCUGCGGUGGGAAUUUUGGAGAUAAUUCAUCCUGAGACGGUUCAUCUCAUCUCAGCCCAGUUUUCAGCAAUUCCUCUGAGACGGGCCGUCCUUUCCCAGUGGACAAAGCGUGUUGACUGGUAUUUAUGGCGAUGCCCAAUGGGAGGCAGAGUCACAGAUUUCUCCCAAAUCUCGGAGCCAAAGCUGGGCUCUGAAGUUUUUCUUCUACGUGCUUAGAGGCAUUCGGGGACAUGGCAGAGAAAUUAGGGUGCAAAGGAUUACUCAUCAUAUCUUUAAGAUGCCGCCUUGCGCUGCUCUGCAAUUAGAAAACGUGUUCCCUCCCGAGGCUGGUGCUGGUCGGGGGAAGGCUGGAUGGCACAGCAGCAAGAUAAUUAGGCACAACAGAAUUAACUCCAGAGUAAGUGUCAGCCUCAGUUGCAAUCCUCCUCAUUUCAUUAUACUCAGCCCUGUAAUGUCUGUUUUUUUUGUUUUUUUGGUUUCGCUAAAUCAAUUUUAAGCAGCACCAAAAAACACCAGGAAGGUGGUAAGAAAGUGAAAAUAAGUGAGAAGAGUGUAUAUACUCCAUCGGGCCCGUCUGGAAAAUGUUUAAUUGGAUUCGCUCCACGCCAACACCACUGUGGCGGCAUCGCCGUCUCACGUGCGGGUUCACCCCCGGCAAGCUCAGUGUGUGGGGUGCCUCCCUCCCCUCCUCUCCCCUCCCCUCCAGUUCCACUGUGUCCACUGUGCUGCAACCGAGCAGGUCCUUAGGGGUCCUUCCUGGGACAGGCCCCUCCCCGCCCAUGUCCUCCACCUGCCUCGUGUCUGUAGAAAAACUUUAGCCUCCUGGGCCCUCACCUCCUUCCAAAGAAUGCAUUUAAUCAGAGAAGUGAGAAAUGCAGAAAGAAAGGACAAUAGUCAAGCCAGACAAAAGCCAUUCAACAAACUCCAGGGCCUUGCGUUCCUCGUCGGGGGCUGUAGAUAAUAUUCUGAGCCAUUUCCUCGAGCUGUUUUGCAGAGGCUGAAACCCCCACCAGGUGGAGGAAGUUAACUGUACGC
rnacentral:lncRNA from 1 species